AUUGAACGCUGGCGGCAUGCCUUACACAUGCAAGUCGAACGGUAACGGGCCUUCGGGUGCCGACGAGUGGCGAACGGGUGAGUAAUGCAUCGGAACGUACCUUUCAGUGGGGGAUAACGUAGCGAAAGUUACGCUAAUACCGCAUAUUCUGUGAGCAGGAAAGCAGGGGAUCGCAAGACCUUGCGCUGAUUGAGCGGCCGAUGUCAGAUUAGUUAGUUGGUGAGGUAAAGGCUCACCAAGGCGACGAUCUGUAGCGGGUCUGAGAGGAUGAUCCGCCACACUGGAACUGAGACACGGUCCAGACUCCUACGGGAGGCAGCAGUGGGGAAUUUUGGACAAUGGGGGCAACCCUGAUCCAGCCAUGCCGCGUGAGUGAAGAAGGCCUUCGGGUUGUAAAGCUCUUUCGGCCGGGAAGAAAUCGUAUCAGCUAAUACCUGGUGCGGAUGACGGUACCGGCAUAAGAAGCACCGGCUAACUACGUGCCAGCCGCCGCGGUAAUAC
rnacentral:rRNA from 1 species